AUGGACUAUCUAAUUUAACAUAAAUUUGGACCCCCGAAAAAAAAUGAGCUACCCAGGUUUAGUUAAGAAUUCAACUUUUUUUGUAUCAAAAAAAAUUAGAAAAACCUUUGUAGUGGUGAUAUGCCUCCGCAUUUUUAGAUAUCUGGUUUUUCCAGAAUAAAAGCUCUUGGGAUAAGCUAAGAGUUAGGAAGAGAUUUGAAACUAUAAAAAUAAUUUUAUUUUAAGCUUAAUAAUAGUAUUAAAAAAUUCUGUAACAAGAUAAAAUUAAUAAGUUUAUAAUUAUAAUUAAAAAACUCUUAUAAAUGGAAAGAAAAAAUUAAAUUCUAAUUUUUUACAUAAUGGUAGUAUUAGUAUUUAAAAAAAGUAAAUUAUUACUUUUUCAAAAAAAAAAGGUAAGGAACUCGGCAAAAAAAGCAACGACUGUUUAACAAAAACAUAGCCCCCUGUGAUUAUGUGAGGUGAAGCCUGCCCGGUGAAUUUUAAACGGCCGCUUAGGUGCUAAGGUAGCAUAAUAAUUUGUCUUUUCAUUGAAGACUAGAAUGAAUGGCUUAACGAAGCUCAGCUGUCUCCCCUUUUCAAAUAAAAAUUGAUAAAAAAGUGAAAGAUCUUUUUUUAAUAUGGUGGACGAGAAGACCCUAUAGAGUUUUAGUAACAACUUUCUACCUGAAAGUGAUACUUUUAUUGGGGCAAUAAUAGAACAUAAAAAAUCUAAUUUUAUACCUUCCUUAAAAAGAAACUAAUAAACUACCUUAGGGAUAACAGCGUAAUCUUCCCAGAGAGAACUAAUCGAAGGGAAGGUUUGCGACCUCGAUGUUGGACUAAGGUAACAAAUAUAUGCAGAAGUAUAUUAAGUAAGCCUGUUCGGCUUAUAAAACCUUACAUGAUCUGAGUUCAGGUCGGCGCAAGCUAGUCCGGUUUCUAUCCCCCUAUUAAUAACACUAACACUUCAUAUUACGAAAGGAACUAAAGAU
rnacentral:rRNA from 1 species